GCAAAUAUGUUAUCGGUAUCGAAAGAAAAAAAUUCAUAAAGCUGUCUUAAAGAAAAAAAAGCACCGACAGUUUCCUCGAGACUGUUUACUCUUCACAUCUCCACAUCUAAUUAAGCAAGACGAAUCGUUUUCAAACCCUUUUCUAUUUCUGAUGUUAAAAACAAUGGAUGAACAUGUAAUAGAUCAGAGAUAACAAUCGUCUUACCGAUAUUGAAAGGAUUGUAAGAUCAGAGUUCAUCGUGUAUAAAAUUUCCCGAUUCAAAUCAUGUUAAGUGAGAUUAUAUAAAGCAACGUUAUAGAUAAGAUCUUAGGAUUAUACGAUCAGAGUUACUGUGAUAGUGUGAUAAAAAAUUUCCAGAUUCAAAUCAUGUUAAGACCCAUUCGAUAAGAGUUCUUUUCCAACUCGAAAUCAAAGAUAUACAUCUCCAGAUCCAUGAAAGGAAGCACGAUCUACUGAUUUGCAAAUGAGGACGACGUGUUGCAUCUAAAUAAAAAAUAUGUAGCAUAGUAAUAAGAAUAGCCAACAAAGCAUUGAGGCAAUUGGAAGCAAUUGAUAUACCAUUUCGCAAGUAUACGAAAUAUAAAGCAGGAUCUUAUAAAGCACAAGUGAGAUUUUUUUUUCAUUGGAAUGACAGUUUGAUGGCGCUGCAAAAGUGUAUUUAUACUGUACACCAUGUUUCACAGUCAACAAAAAGCAGAUAAGUCACUUUUUUAUUGUCUAUGCUCUUCAUAUUGGUUCUUAGUUAUGUUUGUAGGAUAUUAAAAAGCAUAGAAGAAUCAUCGUAUAUAUAAAUACAACCGGAAUGCAACCUCUAUUUGGAAAUGGACAGAACAUAUUUGCUCAUUGUUAACAGUAAGUUUUCUAUUUACUUUAUAGUAUAGAUACAACAGGAAUGGAACCUUAUCGGUAGUUAGGAAUCAAACUGGAGCUUGCUUGAUGUCUUGUAAUGAAUGAAUCCUUUUAUUGUGUGCAAAAACUUGCAAAGCAUUAUUUAAAAUGUAUGAAAAAAACUUGUAGAGUAAGUAACUUGGUAGGUAAUAAAAAGGAGCUUGCUUUAUGUGUUUCAAUGUUUAGACUUGUUUGAGGUAUAGCGUAGAAACAGAUGUGGGAAAGAGAUGUUAUUUAUAUUAGGAGAGGAUACAGAGGAAGUAGGUUAGCUAAUUUAGGGUAAAUAUUAUGGAGAUAUAAUUAGAUAGUUUUUUAAGGAAUAUACUGCUAGUAUUUAGAGAAUUAUGGUGAUUGUAUAAGGAAAAUCGAAAUUAAUCUAUAUAUUAAAUAAACUUGUAGACCAAGUAAAAGAUUAUUUCUGGAAUAUUGCUAUUGAAUAUCAUAUCUAAAUUAUAUUUUGUUUUAGAAAUAGGGAAAAUCGAAUUCAAUCAUUUUUCAAAAAAAAACUUGUUCACGAAGUAAUGAUAUACUUUCGGAAAUAAAGUAUUCAAUUUCGUGUCAAAAAUUUCGGAAUAUUACUGUUGGCCGUGAUUAAUUUUAUAUUUCUAAAUAACAGAUUCACAAUAUAUUGUAUUAUUCUUUAGGUAAUAUCUUUACUAAGAAUAUCUUUAGGUAAUAUUCCUUAGGUAGUUACAAACCAGAAAUUCAUUUAAACGUUUUGAAAAUUUAGUUCGUAAACAGUUUGAAUUUAAUAAUGUAGAUGAAAUGUGAGGACAUGUGUAAUUGUUUAGAAGUCAUAUGUGGUAUAAUGGAAAAAAUUUAAGCUAAGAUAUAAAAUUUCUAUGAUGUGGUAAUGGUUUUGAGUAAUUGACAUCUUGUAUUUUUGAUAUAGGACUUUCAUAUUGGAGCCGAGGACAUGUAAUUGGCUAAUAUUGCUGCAUUCUCCAUUAUUCUCUAUUAAACAUUGUUGAACAUAUGUAAAAAAAAGACAUUGUAUACAGUAUGGUGCAUAAAGUGUGAUAUAAUCGAUUAAAAAAACA